CUACGGGGCUGCACCAGUGAGGAAUAUUGCACAAUGGGGGGAACCCUGAUGCAGCAACGCCGCGUGGAGGAUGACGCAUUUCGGUGUGUAAACUCCUUUUAUAUGUCAAGAAAAUGACGGUAGCAUAUGAAUAAGCACCGGCUAACUCCGUGCCAGCAGCCGCGGUAAUACGGAGGGUGCAAGCGUUACUCGGAAUCACUGGGCGUAAAGGACGCGUAGGCGGGUUGGAAAGUCAGGUGUGAAAUCCUACAGCUUAACUGUAGAACUGCACUUGAAACUUCUAAUCUAGAGUAUGGGAGGGGGAGAUGGAAUUAGUGGUGUAGGGGUAAAAUCCGUAGAUAUCACUAGGAAUACCUAAAGCGAAGGCGAUCUCCUGGAACAUUACUGACGCUAAGGCGUGAAGGCGUGGGGAGCAAACAGGAUUAGAUACCCUCGUAGUC
rnacentral:rRNA from 1 species